GUGGCAGCCGCCGCGGUAAUACGGAGGGUGCAAGCGUUAUCCGGAUUCAUUGGGUUUAAAGGGUGCGCAGGCGGAUUAUUAAGUUAGUGGUGAAAUCCCGGGGCUCAACCUCGGAACUGCCAUUAAUACUGGUAAUCUGGAAUACGGUUGAAGUGGGCGGAAUGUAGCAUGUAGCGGUGAAAUGCAUAGAGAUGCUACAGAACACCGAUCGCGAAGGCAGCUCACUAAGCCGAUAUUGACGCUCAGGCACGAAAGCGUGGGGAGCGAACAGGAUUAGAUACCCUGGUAGUCCACGCCGUAAACGAUGAUAACUCGUUGUUGGCGACACACAGUCAGCGACUAAGCGAAAGCGAUAAGUUAUCCACCUGGGGAGUACGAUCGCAAGGUUGAAACUACGAAAUGAAGUGCGG
rnacentral:rRNA from 1 species